CCAGCAGCUGCCUGAAACAGGUGCAGAGACCCACAGCCAAACAUUAUACCAAACUCGGGAAAUCGCAUAGAAGAGUUGGGAGAAGGAUUGAGGGAAUUAAAGAAUAUAUGGACUCCACAAGAAGACCAACAGAGUCAAGUAACAUGUACCUUGGGGCCUCUUAGAUCCUGAACCACUGACCAAGAACAUACAUGAGCUGAACCCAUGUAUCAGAUGUGCAGCUUGUAGCAGAUGUGCAGCUUGGUCUUCCUGCAGGUUCCCCAACAACUGGAGUAGGCGCUUCCCCUGACUCUGUUGCCUGCCUGUGGAUCCUGUUCUCCUAACCGGGCUGCCUCGUCUGGCCUCAGUGAGAGAGGAUGUAUCUAGCCCUGCAUUGACUUGAGGAAAGGACAUGGAAAAUCCAGCGGUGUCCUUCGACAGGAGCCUAGCAUGACUCUGCGAGGCCCCUACCAGCAGCUGGCUGAGACAGAAGCAGAUACUUACAUCCAACUAUUGAACUGAAGCUGGGGACCCCUAUGGUUGAAUUAGGGGAAGAAUUGAAGAAGCUGAAGGGGAGAGCGACCCUAUAGGAAGACCAGCAGUCUUAACUUACCCAGACCUAAGGAGCUCCCAGAGACUGAGCCACCAACCAGGAGCACAUACAUGGGCCACUCCAACGUUCCCAGCACAGAUAUAGCAGAGGUCUUCCUGGUCAGGCCUUAGUGGGAGAAGAUGAGCUUAAUCCUCAAGAGACUUGAGGCCCCAGGGAUGAAAAGAAGAUGGGACAAGAAAGAAUAAACAAACCGAGCCACUGAGACAACUCAGUAGAUUUUGAGAGACCAUGGAUACACAAAAAUCAGAAACCAUGGAAUUAAGCCCUGUCUGGCCAGGACAUUUGGUCUGAAUUUUCUAAGCUUACUCAGUGGAAAGAUGGAAGAAGUAAGAGCUUGAAGAGGAAAAGGAGGGUCUCUAUGGUUUUAUUACAUUAAAAAAAUACAAGUUUGUGAUUAAAACAUGAAAAAUAAACUA